GUUGAGGGGAAUGAAGCCUGGUCCGAAAUCAUCCAGAUUACACCGUGCAGUUUUCAUAUGAAAGAUUUCGUACCAGACAACAUUCUCCUCAAC
rnacentral:pre_miRNA from 1 species